UUUUUAUGGAACGCGAACAGUGUCAUUAACCUCAAACUUUUAAAGGUUAUAAAGUACUAAAAUUAUUAUGAAAACAACUUACAAAUUGUGCAACUUAAAUUUCUUUAUCUGACUAUUAAAUAGUCAUCUCUAUAAGUAGUUUCGUUACGCGAUCGUAAUUAAUCUUCUUUUUAAGCGAUAACAAUUAAUAAACAAACUCUACCUUGGAAAAGGGACGAGAAAACAUGCAGUUUCACAGACAAAGGUCAUGGUUGUUGCUGGGAAUGAAAUCGCUGCAAAAAUACAGUAAAAACUAAUAAAGUAAUAUUUACUA